CUCUUAGAUGUCCGGGGCUGCACGCGCGCUACACUGAAGGAAUCAGCGUGCUAAAACCAUUGUCGAAAGGCAUUGGUAAACCCAUUAAAAUCCUACGUGAUUGGGAUCGGGAAUUGCAAUUAUUUCCCUUGAACGAGGAAUUCCCAGUAAGUGUGGGUCAUAAGCUCGCGUUGAUUACGUCCCUGCCCUUUGUACACACCGCCCGUCGCUGCCCGGGACUGAGCCGUUUCGAGAAAAGCGGGGACUGCUGCUGUCGGGGCUUUCGGGCCUUGGCUUCGGUGGAAACCGCUUUAAUCGCAGUGGCUUGAACCGGGCAAAAGUCGUAACA
rnacentral:rRNA from 1 species